AACGCGAAGAACCUUACCUACCCUUGACAUGUGGAAGGCUGCUGAAAGGCGGCUGUGCCCGAAAGGGAACCGGAACACAGGUGGUGCAUGGCUGGAGCGUGGUGAGAUGUUGGGUUAAGCCGCAACGAGCGCAACCCCUGGCAUGUUGCCAGCAUUUAGUUGGGGACAUGCGAGACUGCCGGUGACAAACCGGAGGAAGGUGGGGAUGACGAAGAAUGCCCCUUAUGCAGGGCUACACACGUGCUACAUUGGCCGGUACAGAGGGCUGCGAUACCGCGAGGUGGAGCGAACCAAAAAGCCGGCCGGUGGAUUGGAGGCUGAAACGCCCAUGAAGGCGGAGUUGCUAGUAACCAGAAGCAACGCCGGGGUGAAUACGUCCGGGUUGUACACACCG
rnacentral:rRNA from 1 species